GCCCCCAUAGCUCAGUUGGAUAGAGCGCCAGAUUCCUAAUCUGGGUGCCGCGUGUUCGAAUCGCGCUGGGGGCACCA
rnacentral:tRNA from 1 species